GUUUUCCAAGGACAGAUGAGAGACACAACAAAGUGCUCCAAAGGCCACAUCAUCAAUGAAGAGACAAAUCCAUUCUGGACUCUCCCUCUGUCUAUAAAACAUACUCUGGAUACAAGUGUGGAGAGCAGCUUUGAGAGGACUUUCCAACCAAAAACAUACAAAGGUGACAAUAUGGUGUACUGCAACAUCUGUAAACAGAAAACAGGAGCAACAAGUGUGAGUUUUGACCUUAAACUAAAACAAAAACAAUAUCCAGGUCAAUUUUAAUACUGGAAUCAAAUUAAAACAUUCUGUAUUAAAGGAUAUAGUGUGUGAUGAUGUUAUUUAGAGUUGUGAGAUGGUGAAAGCUCCUCAGAUCUUGAUUCUUCUCCUCAAGAGAUUUGACUUUGACUACAAAACCAGGUCAUAUUUCAAAUCAGACUGCUGUGUGGAAGUGCCUUGUGAAUUACAGUUUAAGGCAAGGAUGAUACAUUUUUAUCUGUGAUUUUUCAUUUAAAUGGUCUUAAUUGCUUUUAAAAUAAUUUCAUGUUCCUGACUGUGUUGUUCAUUGUAGAACAAGACAUACAAACUGUAUGGGAUGGUGAAUCACAUGGGCAGUCUAAGAGGUGGACAUUACACAGCCACCAUCCUGUCUGAGGACAACACCUGGUAUGAGUGUGAUGAUUCUCAUGUCAGCAAGGUGAGGAAGAUUUAACUUAAUCUUUUUCUUUAAGACAUUACACAUUUCAAACACAGCAACCGAAAGAUCAACAUGAAAAACAAAUCUACUGACGUUGGUUUACUUUUGUUGAACCGUGCAGAUUAAACACCAGCUGUUUGCAGAGGACAGGACUUUCAACUCCAGGACUGUCUAUCUCCUCACAUACAGAGGUAGGACUACAGAAAUACAUAAAGGAUUCAUUUAGGUGUCAUAUCAACAUAUGAUUGCUAAAUAAAUGUUUUGUCUUCAAUUUAAAGCUACAGAGUUGAAGAUGUCCUGUGGGGUGAGACGGAAUGAAAAGGAUGAUACUAGAAAUGACAAUGACCUCUUAAACCAUCAGACUGCAGGAGAGGAGGAUAACACAGAAGGAAACUCGAAUGAAAAGUCUGAAGGGUUGAAGUCAAAUAACCCUCGUAAACGACAUCUGGAUGAAGAGACAGCCACAGAGAAGGAGAAACAAAGAGCACCUAAGAAGCCCCAUGUGACCACUUCACUAAGUCAGACAGAUGAUGCAGCUGAACGACAGGAUGAAACCAGUGAAGUGGACGACCAGAGGAAAGCUGAGGUGGAAGACACAAGAAAAGACGUAGAAAUGGACACUGGUGAUGAAGAGACGAGACAAAUGAGACACAGUGCUGUUGGUGAGAAAAAGAUGUGAUUAAAGGGAAACAGAUAUAAAUCAGCCUCAGGGGUUGAGGG
rnacentral:lncRNA from 1 species